rnacentral:rRNA from 1 species
UACGUAGGUGACAAGCGUUGUCCGGAUUUACUGGGCGUAAAGAGCACGCAGGCGGUCGAUCAAGUCGAGUGUGAAAGCCCCCGGCUCAACUGGGGAGGGUCAUUCGAUACUGAUCGACUCGAAGGCAGGAGAGGGUAGUGGAAUUCCCGGUGUAGUGGUGAAAUGCGUAGAUAUCGGGAGGAACACCAGUGGCGAAGGCGACUACCUGGCCUGUUCUUGACGCUGAGGCGCGAAAGCUAGGGGAGCAAACGGG